UACGUAGGGGGCAAGCGUUAUCCGGAUUUACUGGGUGUAAAGGGAGCGUAGACGGCGUAUCAAGUCUGAUGUGAAAGGCAGGGGCUCAACCCCUGGACUGCAUUGGAAACUGGUAUGCUCGAGUGCCGGAGAGGUAAGCGGAAUUCCUAGUGUAGCGGUGAAAUGCGUAGAUAUUAGGAGGAACACCAGUGGCGAAGGCGGCUUACUGGACGGUAACUGACGUUGAGGCUCGAAAGCGUGGGGAGCAAACAGG
rnacentral:rRNA from 1 species